rnacentral:rRNA from 1 species
GGGUUGUGAGGUUAAGCGACUAAGCGUACACGGUGGAUGCCCUGGCAGUCAGAGGCGAUGAAGGACGUGCUAAUCUGCGAUAAGCGUCGGUAAGGUGAUAUGAACCGUUAUAACCGGCGAUUUCCGAAUGGGGAAACCCAGUGUGAUUCGUCACACUAUCAUUAACUGAAUCCAUAGGUUAAUGAGGCGAACCGGGGGAACUGAAACAUCUAAGUACCCCGAGGAAAAGAAAUCAACCGAGAUUCCCCCAGUAGCGGCGAGCGAACGGGGAGGAGCCCAGAGCCUGAAUCAGUGUGUGUGUUAGUGGAAGCGUCUGGAAAGGCGCGCGAUACAGGGUGACAGCCCCGUACACAAAAAUGCACAUGCUGUGAGCUCGAUGAGUAGGGCGGGACACGUGGUAUCCUGUCUGAAUAUGGGGGGACCAUCCUCCAAGGCUAAAUACUCCUGACUGACCGAUAGUGAACCAGUACCGUGAGGGAAAGGCGAAAAGAACCCCGGCGAGGGGAGUGAAAAAGAACCUGAAACCGUGUACGUACAAGCAGUGGGAGCACGCUUCGGCGUGUGACUGCGUACCUUUUGUAUAAUGGGUCAGCGACUUAUAUUCUGUAGCAAGGUUAACCGAAUAGGGGAGCCGAAGGGAAACCGAGUCUUAACUGGGCGUUAAGUUGCAGGGUAUAGACCCGAAACCCGGUGAUCUAGCCAUGGGCAGGUUGAAGGUUGGGUAACACUAACUGGAGGACCGAACCGACUAAUGUUGAAAAAUUAGCGGAUGACUUGUGGCUGGGGGUGAAAGGCCAAUCAAACCGGGAGAUAGCUGGUUCUCCCCGAAAGCUAUUUAGGUAGCGCCUCGUGAAUUCAUCUCCGGGGGUAGAGCACUGUUUCGGCAAGGGGGUCAUCCCGACUUACCAACCCGAUGCAAACUGCGAAUACCGGAGAAUGUUAUCACGGGAGACACACGGCGGGUGCUAACGUCCGUCGUGAAGAGGGAAACAACCCAGACCGCCAGCUAAGGUCCCAAAGUCAUGGUUAAGUGGGAAACGAUGUGGGAAGGCCCAGACAGCCAGGAUGUUGGCUUAGAAGCAGCCAUCAUUUAAAGAAAGCGUAAUAGCUCACUGGUCGAGUCGGCCUGCGCGGAAGAUGUAACGGGGCUAAACCAUGCACCGAAGCUGCGGCAGCGAC